CAGAGACCGAUAGCGCACAAGUAGAGUGAUCGAAAGAUGAAAAGCACUUUGGAAAGAGAGUCAAAUAGCACGUGAAAUUGUUGAAAGGGAAGCGCUUGCAGCCAGACUUGCCUGUAGUUGCUCAUCCGGGCUUUUGCCCGGUGCACUCUUCUAUAGGCAGGCCAGCAUCAGUUUGGGCGGUUGGAUAAAGGUCUCUGUCAUGUACCUCUCUUCGGGGAGGCCUUAUAGGGGAGACGACAUGCAACCAGCCUGGACUGAGGUCCGCGCAUCUGCUAGGAUGCUGGCGUAAUGGCUGUAAGCGGCCCGUCUUGAAACACGGACCAAGGAGUCUAACAUCUAUGCGAGUGUUUGGGUGUCAAGCCCGAACGCGUAAUGAAAGUGAACGGAGGUAGGACCCCGCAAGGGUGCACUAUCGACCGAUCCUGAUGUCUUCGGAUGGAUUUGAGUAAGAGCAUGGCUGUUGGGACCCGAAAGAUGGUGAACUAUGCUUGAAUAGGGUGAAGCCAGAGGAAACUCUGGUGGAGGCUCGCAGCGGUUCUGACGUGCAAAUCGAUCGUCAAAUUUGGGCAUAGGGGCGAA
rnacentral:rRNA from 1 species